rnacentral:rRNA from 1 species
UACAGAGGGCGCGAGCGUUGUUCGGAAUUAUUGGGCGUAAAGGGCGCGUAGGCGGUGCGGUAAGUCACCUGUGAAAUCUCCUGGCUCAACUGGGAGCUUGCAGGCGAAACUGCCGUGCUGGAGUGUGGGAGAGGUGCGUGGAAUUCCUGGUGUAGCGGUGAAAUGCGUAGAUAUCAGGAGGAACACCUGUGGCGAAAGCGGCGCACUGGACCACAACUGACGCUGAGGAGCGAAAGCGUGGGGAGCGAACAGG